GAGUAAUAGAAACAGCCAGAGGCGAAUGGAAAGUCUUUGGACAUGGGCCAGUCGUCAUGUUUUAAGAUAUUGCUUUCUGCCGUCGAGGAAUCCGACGACCCGUCGAAACGACGGCAGGUCGUCACAGCAUCUUCCUCCGAGUCAGACGAAGAUACUGAAGAUGCAUCUCGUUUGGAUAUUUCAACCGCAACAAAAGCAGUCAUCUUUGCCUCCAGCAUCAUCUCUACGGCACAUUCGCUCUCGCGUCUCUAACUAAGAAGCUGCGCCCGUGUCAGCCAUCAGCAGUGCAUAUUCUGUCAGCUUUAUAAUGAGGGAAACCGAGGUUGUCCCGGGAACCAGGAUGGUGGAUACGAGGUAGAAAAAUGAGUCUUGCUAGUUCACCAUGGUACACAGCUACUACCGGUGGGAUGCUGGGGGUCCUGAAGGUUGCUUUGGGAACAUGAGAGAUAGAGGGAGAAAGCUGAGGGGAUCCCGUCAAGAGAUGAGGUCGGUUGAGACACCCUGGAACUGAAGAAGAAGGGUGAGUCAUGAGAGUUCUAAGUGAAUACCGAGCAAACACUAGAACGAAUGAAGAGACCUUUGGAGGUCUGCUGAAGUGGGUUGAGACGGUUGGAAAGGUUGGGAACGUGGAACUAACCGCGAGUCUCCUGAUGUAAAGAAGAAAUGACAAAAAAUAACAGUCACCCGAGAUAAGGGACACUGACUAGCUGGACUCCAUGGAGAAUCCUUAUUAAGGAACGUCUGAGGGUGCUCUCUUACAGAACAGCCAAGGAGCGGAGAAGGAAUGGCGAAACAUUAACGGCACUGGUUCGCGCCUUUCUCUCUCGUCGCAGAAAAGGAUGCCCGGCGUCCCCUUCGACCCCUCGUCGACCCACCUGGUAGCUUCGUAGCUGGAAAAUUAAAUAAGAAAACCAAAUUAACCGAGAGGAAAAUUCCUCGGCGCGAUUCUAAUAGCAGGAGGUGGAGCCGUAGGCUGGUCGGAAGAAUGGGAAGAAGAAUUGCAAGGAACACCCGGACCAAUUAACCGCAUCUAUUUCGCAAGACGACGAAAUCCCUUUUUGGUUCUCAGCAGGAAGAUCCAAGAGAAAAGGAAGAAAGGAUAAUAACGCGAGAAAUGAAGAUAGAGGAAAAAGUGAAGAAUACAAACAAAUGUCAACAUAGCCUGGCAAUGGACAAUCCUCAAGAAAUCCAUUCGAUCCUCGCUAAUGAAAAUCGGCCCCUGCAGCCACCCUCGUUAAAUAGUUAUCAUUAAAAUUAUUCGGGUGGGUCCGCACGACACAAAGUGUACAGACCUACGUAAUAAAGGUCUCCAGUAUUCAUACGUUGACAUCGUGAUACGUGGCUGUGACCUUUGAACUCGCAAAAUGGACCGUACAAAUGAUACCACGGAUGAAGAUGUUAUACACGAAGUCCGUAUCCGAUGAAGUGAAUUGCGUAAGGGGGGUAUAGGUGGGCUGCAGCGAAGGUGAUUGAAUUUAGAGUACAAAGUGACCCUUGACCCAAAUCCCAAGUACAGAGUUAGCAAGCAACCGGCACGCUCUCUACCCUUGUUACCAUCAGGUCCUGCUCACUAAAUAUGCAGUCCAGCGAAUUUCGUCCUCCCCUUAGUAUCAAACGGGACGCCGGCGUCGGCGACGGCUGGCUAGUCGUUGGCGUCGGCGUCGCUUCUACCCCCUUCCGUCCCACCCCCCCCCGUCCCAAGCAUCCCGAGUGGCCUCAACGAUGCCCACCGGUGUCGGUGCUCUUCGUCGACUGCCUAUACCGCGUCCACCCAGUGGCUCCAGGUCUCAUCGACGCCUGGCGUCUCUCUCACCCCGUGGCAGUCCUUUAACCCUCGGUCGAGGUCCCGGGCUUACUUUCGCCGGCGUCAGCCUCCCUUGCGGUCGAGUGGGCUUUAAUGAAGCUGCGGGCAAUGCGGGGAUUCGCUGCGCGCCCGGAAAAUAACAAGUAAAGCCCCGUACGCGCACCCUCGACGUACACGGGGUUGGUUGUAUGUAUGGCAUACAUAUGUACAUAUGUAAUACCCACUUGGGUUCGUACAGGCUACCCCCACAUCAACCCCUCUAAUGAUAUAGGGUGCCCUGCGCAACACCCCGAAAAAGCACCCGCUUGCCCUGUCGGCGACGAACUACCCUUCGGUACGAGGACCCUAACCAUCUUCAAAGAGAAACCCCGAGGUGGGUUCGUUCUAGCUGAAAAUUCGUAUUUCUUAGCUGCGAAGUCGAGAGGGGGUUGUUGCGCGCUUGAUUUUAGUCAAAAAGUGACGUCAGGACUGGCGGUGAUCUUGAUUAGAAAAUUUAUCAUCGGUGGUCUUGGAUACAUUUUUUGUUAUCUUUAUGGAGUUUGAAAAUUUGUUCACUGCAGUCGGACGA